UAACCUGCUAAAUAGCCCGUACUGCUUUGGCAGUUCGCCGGCUUCUUAGAGGGACUAUCGGCUCAAGCCGAUGGAAGUUUGAGGCAAUAACAGGUCUGUGAUGCCCUUAGAUGUCCUGGGCCGCACGCGCGUUACACUGACAGAGCCAGCGAGUAUUUCCUUGGCCGGAAGGUCCGGGUAAUCUUGUUAAACUCUGUCGUGCUGGGGAUAGAGCAUUGCAAUUAUUGCUCUUCAACGAGGAAUCCCUAGUAAGCGCAAGUCAUCAGCUUGCGUUGAUUACGUCCCUGCCCUUUGUACACACCGCCCGUCGCU
rnacentral:rRNA from 1 species